GAUGAAGAACGUAGCGAAAUGCGAUAAGUAGUGUGAAUUGCAGAAUUCAGUGAAUCAUCGAAUCUUUGAACGCACAUUGCGCCCUUUGGUAUUCCUUAGGGCAUGCCUGUUCGAGCGUCAUCUAAACCUUCAAGCCCUGCUUGGUGUUGGGUGCCUGUCCCGCCUCCGCGCGUGGACUCACCUCAAAUCCAUUGGCGGCCCCCGCGUCGGCCACGAGCGCAGCAGAAACGCGAACUCGUGAGCCCGUCCGGGCGGCUCCCAGAAGCUAACACCCAAUUUUUGACCUCGGAUCAGGUAGGGAUACCCGCUGAACUUAAGCAUAUCAAUAAGCGGAGGA
rnacentral:misc_RNA from 1 species